UUUUAUAUAUAAUGUGAUGAAACUUGGUUCUUCGAUUAUUGAGAUCUUAAUCUUAUGUUGCAGCUCUGUUUCUUUAAUUGCAAUCGUGUUGGCACCUGGAGAAUAACAUGCAAAGCAGCGUUACAGAGGGACUAAUCGGUGACAACUGAAAAACAAGGAGGCUCUAAUGAGUGUAGCUGUGAUCAUAUAAAACGUUUGACCAGUGAUAGUCCCAACUAGAAAAAAAAAAAGAAAAAGAAAUAAAUGAUCCAAGUCAAUCUAAGUACACUUGCCGAACACAUAACUUGUUCAUGAGGCGACGAUAAUUUUCAAAACACCAAAAAAAAGAUAAAUGUAAAGUGUCGAGGAAUAGAAUUGAAAAAAGAAAAUCAUUGUAAAAAGAAGAAGAAGGGAUUGGAUUUCUUUGUUUGUUCUAACCAGAGUUCAAGGACUGGCCCAUGGCUGGGAUUGCACAAUGAAAAAGUUUGAAAGGUUAAUCCCAGAAAGUGAUUUACGCGGGAGGAGAACAGAUCUGUGAUUUGCUCUCCUUCGAACAAGGGACCCGCCAGGUUUUAAUGAAGGAUGACAAGCAGAGGUGUCUCUAUCGACCAAGUUAUACGAAGGUGUGCGCUCGACCUCGUUAGACAUCUCGCGCGAUAACGCCAGAAAGUUUGUUUUGUUCUUUCUAUGGUUAAAAAAACACUGUUAGUCGGUUUCCUAUAUAGAGAGGGUAUCCUGUUUUUAAGAUGUGGAGGACGUCUAUGUAUGAAAAAGAGAAGGGAUCGGAGAAAAAGGAGAGAAACUUCGCAGAAAAGAAAGUUUGAAGAGUACCCAACCUGAUCUUAAAAAAACAAAAAUAAUAAAUUUUAUAA
rnacentral:lncRNA from 1 species